AAGCGUUAAUCGGAAUUACUGGGCGUAAAGCGCACGCAGGCGGUUUGUUAAGUCAGAUGUGAAAUCCCCGGGCUCAACCUGGGAACUGCAUCUGAUACUGGCAAGCUUGAGUCUCGUAGAGGGGGGUAGAAUUCCAGGUGUAGCGGUGAAAUGCGUAGAGAUCUGGAGGAAUACCGGUGGCGAAGGCGGCCCCCUGGACGAAGACUGACGCUCAGGUGCGAAAGCGUGGGGAGCAAACAGGAUUAGAUACCCUGG
rnacentral:rRNA from 1 species